rnacentral:rRNA from 1 species
UAAUGUAUGGGGAUCUGCCCGAUAGAGGGGGAUAACUACUGGAAACGGGUGGCUAAUACCGCAUAAUGUCUACGGACCAAAGCAGGGGCUCUUCGGACCUUGCACUAUCGGAUGAACCCAUAUGGGAUUAGCUAGUAGGUGGGGUAAAGGCUCACCUAGGCGACGAUCUCUAGCUGGUCGAUGAGAGGAUGAUCAGCCACACUGGGAUGCCUGAGACACGGCCCAGACUCCUAACGGGAGGCAGCAGUGGGGAAUAUUGCCAAUUCAGGCACAAUGGGCGCAAGCCUGAUGCAGCCAUGCCUGCGUGUAUGAAGAAGGCCCCAGGGUUGUAAAGUACUUUCAGCGGGGAGGAAGGUGAUAAGGUUAAUACCCUUGUCAAUUGACGUUACCCGCAGAAGAAGGCACCGGCUAACUCCGUUGCCAGCAGCCGCGGUAAUACGGAGGGUGCAAGCGUUAAUCGGAAUUACUGGGCGUAAAGCGCACAGCAGGCGGUCAAUUAAGUCAUAGAUGUGAAAGCCCCGAGCUUAACUUGGGAAUUGCAUCUGAAACUGGUUGGCAACUAGAGUCUUGUAGAGGGGGGUAGAAUUCCAUGUGUAGCGGUGAAAUGCGUAUGAGAUGUGAGAGGAAUAC